GUUAAAUGGGCAGACAGACUGGAACUUGAGGGGUAUAGAUAAGAGAAAUAAAGUGGAGGCUUGGAGGCUAUAAUUUCUCUUUCUGUGGUGGUAACAAAAUCAGGGGAUGGAUGGAGUCAGGUGACUGCAGACUGGAACCAGAGCCGGGAAGAGCAAACUGCCCAGAGCAUGGUAAGAAGGACCACACUCCUCAGGAUGUGCUAUGUGGCAUGAUGGAGAAGUCCUCACUGAACUCAGUCCUCACUCAGCGUGCCCAAGUCCCAAUACCCGUGACCCCACUUCCCAGUUGAUUGAAUCCUAGAUUUAAAAGUUCCAUGUUUGAUUUUCCUUCCUUCUGCUUCCUUACUUUAAAGCAAGAUGAAAGAAAAGUAAGUUACCAGGUCCCUGACUUCUGGUCCCUGCUGAAAACUCAAAGAAGACACUGCAUCGAAAAGAAUCCUCAGUGGGCCAGAGGCACAUGUGCUGCAUGCCCAUGCGCAUGCCCUGGCGUGCACUCGCGGUUCUCGGCUUAUAAUUUAGCCAUAUCCUUAUGUUCAUAAAAUUAAAUAGAAUCCUAGAAAUGAUAGUAAGCACAGAAAUUGUACAUUGUGACUCAUAUCAAGUGGAAAGCAGGAAGUCCUAUAACCGUCUCCUAAGUCGUCAGACUAGCUAGAGAGUGCCAUCGGCUUAAUUGCAGGUUUGCACAUUCAGAGAGGAUGCUGUAGAAAUGUUUGAGGAGAAAUACCCUUAUCAAGACACACACACAGUAAACUGGAAUUACCAUCCAACCUAGACAAGAGUGUGUGUUGAAAUUGCCUGAGGAUGUUCACACAACAAACUGAUGUCAAUCUCAGAACUUCUGACAUCUGUAUACAUAUGAUGAUCAACAGAAUUCUGCUGAGAAUUGAGUAUUUUCUUCGGGACACAUCUGCAGCUUCUGUUUGCCUUUUUAUCCCUCUUCUGAAGGUGUUUGCUCACUUUCCUGUAGUUUUGAUUUGCUCACGAGGAUGCCCAGAAGACAGGAAGGUAAGUACAUGCAUAAGCUGUGUUAGACCUUUAGGAAUUCCUUCCUCUGUUUCAGUAUUGUAGUUUUGGUUUUGUUUAAAAAAAAAUGAGAUGAAAGCCCAUUUUCUCAUUUAUAAUUAUCCCCACAAGAACUGGUAGCUCUGUGAGCACAGAGAAGAGGCAUGACAGACAACCAAUACAUCCUAUCUUUAGAAGUAUUGGCAGGUUUCUAUAGGAAAUACAGUUUAUUCUGGAAGACAUGAUUGCCAUAAUGU
rnacentral:lncRNA from 1 species